GAUGAACGCUGGCGGCGUGCCUAAUACAUGCAAGUCGAGCGAACGGACGAGAAGCUUGCUUCUCUGAUGUUAGCGGCGGACGGGUGAGUAACACGUGGAUAACCUACCUAUAAGACUGGGAUAACUUCGGGAAACCGGAGCUAAUACCGGAUAAUAUUUUGAACCGCAUGGUUCAAAAGUGAAAGACGGUCUUGCUGUCACUUAUAGAUGGAUCCGCGCUGCAUUAGCUAGUUGGUAAGGUAACGGCUUACCAAGGCAACGAUGCAUAGCCGACCGAAGAGGGUGAUCGGCCACCCGGGAACUGGGACACGGUCCAGACUCCUACGGGAGGCAGCAGUAGGGAAUCUUCCGCAAUGGGCGAAAGCCUGACGGAGCAACGCCGCGUGAGUGAUGAAGGUCUUCGGAUCGUAAAACUCUGUUAUUAGGGAAGAACAUAUGUGUAAGUAACUGUGCACAUCUUGACGGUACCUAAUCAGAAAGCCACGGCUAACUACGUG
rnacentral:rRNA from 1 species